GUCGAGAAUCUUUCACAAUGGGGGCAACCCUGAUGGAGCGACGCCGCGUGGAGGAUAAGGUCUUCGGAUUGUAAACUCCUGUCAUGCGUGAACAAGGUUGCUUGGAUAAUACCUGAGCAAAUUGAUGGUAGCGCAAGAGGAAGAGACGGCUAACUCUGUGCCAGCAGCCGCGGUAAUACAGAGGUCUCAAGCGUUGUUCGGAAUCACUGGGCGUAAAGGGUGCGUAGGUGGCGUGGCAAGUCAGAUGUGAAAGCCCGGGGCUCAACCUCGGAACUGCAUCCGAUACUGCCAUGCUAGAGUACUGGAGGGGUGACUAGAAUUCUCGGUGUAGCAGUGAAAUGCGUAGAUAUCGAGAGGAAUACCAAAGGCGUAGGCAGGUCACUGGACAGUUACUGACACUGAGGCACGAAGGCCAGGGGAGCGAACGGGAUUAGAUACCCGUGUAGUCC
rnacentral:rRNA from 1 species